GCGGCGAGCGGCGGACGGGUGAGGAAUUCGUCGGAAUCUGCCUUUUUGUGGGGGAUAACGUAGGGAAACUUACGCUAAUACCGCAUACGACCUACGGGUGAAAGUGGGGGACCUUCGGGCCUCACGCAGAAAGAUGAGCCGACGACCGAUUAGCUAGUUGGUGGGGUAAAGGCCCACCAAGGCGACGAUCGGUAGCUGGUCUGAGAGGAUGAUCAGCCACACUGGGACUGAGACACGGCCCAGACUCCUACGGGAGGCAGCAGUGGGGAAUAUUGGACAAUGGGGGCAACCCUGAUCCAGCCAUGCCGCGUGUGUGAAGAAGGCCUUCGGGUUGUAAAGCACUUUUGUCCGGAAAGAAAUCUUCCAGUUUAAUACGCUGGGAGGAUGACGGUACCGGAAGAAUAAGCACCGGCUAACUUCGUGCCAGCAGCCGCGGUAAUACGAAGGGUGCAAGCGUUACUCGGAAUUACUGGGCGUAAAGCGUGCGUAGGCGGUUUGUUAAGUCUGAUGUGAAAUCCCCGGGCUCAACCUGGGACGUGCAUUGGAAACUGGCGAUCUAGAGUACGGUAGAGGGUGGUGGAAUUCCCGGUGUAGCAGUGAAAUGCGUAGAGAUCGGGAGGAACACUCGUGGCGAAGGCGGCCAC
rnacentral:rRNA from 1 species